UCUGUGCAACUGGGUGAAUUCCUGGCUGGCUGCUAUAUUGCACUCUGCUUUCUCACCUGACUCCUGAACCCUGCUUUCCAGACGUUCCUGAUCCCUGCUGCCCUUGGGCUCUGACCCUUGGCUCGACUCCUGACUCUAAUUUUGGCUCUCCCCCUCGGCUUGGGUUACUGACUCCUGCUUUGACUGCCCCAGCCCUGGUUAUGACAGACAGGCUCUGUGAGACAGUCUAGAUCUGAGAGCGAGUGAAGAGAAUCCACAAAGGAACAGGGAGUUGCUGCAGUUUCUGAGGGAAGGGACAAUGUGGCUGUGCUAAUGGGAACCCUUGAAAAUCUGAGCAGUACUAUGCUCUUGGCUUGGGAAUUUCAGGGUGUCAGGAUAGAUCUGGCUCUGACUGAGGACAUGGCUUCCUUUUUGCAAUGAAGCUCUCGUGUUCUGUUCCUAGUUUCCCUUCCAGAAGAAAAGACCUGGUGUCUCCCUCUCAUCUCCUCUAUAUAAUCCCCAAACUAAAAUAGGUAAAAUAGAUUCAAACUGCUGGUCUGCUCUAAAAAGAAAGUGCCUAAAGCCCAGUGAUUAUCCAGCAGAGCUGCUCCUUGUGUCCAGGGUCAGAUUUGCUUAAUUCAGUGGCAAAUCUGAGCAUUUUAUACUUGUUACAUUGUAGAGCCAGCAUAGCCACGGGAGAGUGAGCUGGGUUCUAGUUGUGUUUCCCAGGUCUAUUAAGAAUGAAAAACCAGGAAUGGAUAUGGGGUCAGGCAGAGUGGGGCAAUGCCCCUGCAUCCAUCUGGGGAACCUGGCAACAUACUUCCUGUGGUUACAUGAUCACUUGAUGGAGUGGUUAGGGCAUGCUUGAUGCCUAAGAUGAAGAUCUGAAAUCUCCAGCUACCUGGAUGGGAAAAAUUCAGCAUGUCUUCCUGAUGAUCGCCCCACUGGCAAAGGAUCAAAGGAGUCUGAGCAUGUGAUGCAGCCUGGCAUAAAUGAUUGGCAGGAGUUAGAGGCUACAAUCAUCUGUGCCAGGGAUUUGAAGAUAAUCUGCAUGUCAGACCUGCUGGGACAGCUGCUGUCAUGGAUGCAGCCUGUUUGGCUGUUCAUGACAGUGUUUCAAACAAUGAUUUGGUUUUUUUUUUUUUUAAUAGUUUUAUUCUGGGAUUCUUGCUGAAUAAGCAAAAUAAGGGCAAACCCAGAAAAUGAUUGAAAUUGCUUCACCCAGUUGAAAUCACUGAUGAAAGACGUUCUAAAAUGGAAACAGAAGGAGCUGGACAGUUACUCCUGGAAUGACGGUUUCAGAUGCAGUCUAGCCAGAAUGUACAGUAGGAGCCUAGCUUAUUGAGACCACUAAGUGAGUGAAUAAUUGAACUGAAAGGAGGUUCUGUACUACAAAGGUUUUCAACAGCUACUGCUAGUCAUUUGGGGUGCUGUGAUUGCCCCUUCUCUGACCAAACUCAGUUACUUCACGUCUAUCUUGUCCUCUCUCGUUUAUUUAUUUUUCUCCAGCUGUUCUCUCAUCACAUGCUUUGCUCUUGUAGGGCAAGGACUGUCUUUUUAUUUCCCCUGUACACCAUCUAACACAACUGGGCCCUGAUCACUGUGAUAGCCCCUAGAGGCUCCAGUCAGAGCAAAUAAUGAAUAAGAACACUGAACAAGGAAGAUGGAGAAUUGGAAAAAUGGGCUCGAGAAUAGGAAGCAAGCUCUGCAAACUCAAACUGGAAUCUGACAGUCCAGCUCUGCUCUAAGGACAAGGGUUCUGCCACUGACUCCCCAUAUGACCUGAGUGCAGGCAAUCUGGUCAUGAAGGCAAAAAACUCCAGCCAUCGUAUUGUCAGCUCUUCUACAGAGGGAAACCGCCUCAAGAGAUCAGCCCCCUCAACAGAUGAAAAAUGAUGAGACGGACCUUGAAAAAUCAUGAUUGGCUCCCAAAUCAUAAAACUUUAAAAAAAAAAAUAUUUUUUUUUCCAGUCUGUCUUUUGAUUUUUGAACUCCCCUUGCCUAUCCUGUGUGUGUGUGUGUGUGUGUGUGUAAGACCAUUUUGGUCCCUUUCCAGCAACUAAUCCUGUCUCCACCCAGUCCUCCCAUCAGUUCAGCCCUACAACACUCAGUUCAGCUCCCCUCAGUUCUGCCUCCCCAGCCUCAUCUCUGCUCCUCCUGGGUACUUCAGCCCCCUCUCCCAGGCCUGAGGGGGCACAGCAGUGUCUCUUCUCCCCGUUCCCAGGCUGGGCAUGAGGCAGGGAAGUUGAAGGGGCUGUUUGCCUCCCUCUGCCCCUUUCCCGGUUGGUUGCUGCCACGGCAGGGGUAGGAGUAAUCGUGCUAUUCCGUCCCUGUUUCUCACAGGAGGGGAGGAGGGAAGAGGGAUUGGAGCUAGGCUGGGCUCUUUUCUCCUCUCCUGUGAGAAUGGCGAGCAGCUGAGACACACCCUGGAGCUUCUUGCAUCCUCACGAGAGGAGCUCCAGCACCCUCUGAAAUCCUGCCAUUUGUGAAAAAUUACAGGAGUUGGCAGUAUUGUCAUUGUCUGUCUGUCAUCUCUCUGUUUGUCUCUCUGACUCACACUCACAUUGGGGGUUUCCAGGGGGAGUUCAAA